UACGAAGGGGGCUAGCGUUGUUCGGAAUCACUGGGCGUAAAGCGCACGUAGGCGGCUCCUUAAGUCAGGGGUGAAAUCCCGAGGCUCAACCUCGGAACUGCCUUUGAUACUGGGGAUCUUGAGUCCGGGAGAGGUGAGUGGAAUUGCGAGUGUAGAGGUGAAAUUCGUAGAUAUUCGCAAGAACACCAGUGGCGAAGGCGGCUCACUGGCCCGGUACUGACGCUGAGGUGCGAAAGCGUGGGGAGCAAACAGG
rnacentral:rRNA from 1 species